rnacentral:tRNA from 1 species
CACUGUUUAGUUGGCAAAGCACAAAGCUCUUAACCUUGUGGACGUGGGUUCAAGCCCCAUGGUGA